rnacentral:rRNA from 1 species
GGGGAAUAUUGCACAAUGGGCGAAAGCCUGAUGCAGCAACGCCGCGUGAGCGAUGAAGGCCUUCGGGUCGUAAAGCUCUGUCCUAAGGGAAGAAUAAAUGACGGUACCUUAGGAGGAAGCCCCGGCUAACUACGUGCCAGCAGCCGCGGUAAUACGUAGGGGGCAAGCGUUAUCCGGAAUUAUUGGGCGUAAAGAGUGCGUAGGUGGAUUUACAAGCCUUUGGUGAAAGGCUACGGCUUAACCGUAGUAAGCCUUAGGAACUGUAAGUCUUGAGUGCAGGAGAGGAAAGCGGAAUUCCUAAUGUAGCGGUGAAAUGCGUAGAUAUUAGGAGGAAUACCAGUAGCGAAGGCGGCUCUCUGGACUGUAACUGACACUGAGGCACGAAAGCGUGGGGAGCAAAC